rnacentral:rRNA from 1 species
GGGUUGUGAGGUUAAGCGACUAAGCGUACACGGUGGAUGCCCUGGCAGUCAGAGGCGAUGAAGGACGUGCUAAUCUGCGAUAAGCGUCGGUAAGGUGAUAUGAACCGUUAUAACCGGCGAUUUCCGAAUGGGGAAACCCAGUGUGAUUCGUCACACUAUCAUUAACUGAAUCCAUAGGUUAAUGAGGCGAACCGGGGGAACUGAAACAUCUAAGUACCCCGAGGAAAAGAAAUCAACCGAGAUUCCCCCAGUAGCGGCGAGCGAACGGGGAGCAGCCCAGAGCCUGAAUCAGUGUGUGUGUUAGUGGAAGCGUCUGGAAAGGCGCGCGAUACAGGGUGACAGCCCCGUACACAAAAAUGCACAUAUUGUGAGCUCGAUGAGUAGGGCGGGACACGUGGUAUCCUGUCUGAAUAUGGGGGGCCCAUCCUCCAAGGCUAAAUACUCCUGACUGACCGAUAGUGAACCAGUACCGUGAGGGAAAGGCGAAAAGAACCCCGGCGAGGGGAGUGAAAAAGAACCUGAAACCGUGUACGUACAAGCAGUGGGAGCACGCUUAGGCGUGUGACUGCGUACCUUUUGUAUAAUGGGUCAGCGACUUAUAUUCUGUAGCAAGGUUAACCGAAUAGGGGAGCCGAAGGGAAACCGAGUCUUAACUGGGCGUUAAGUUGCAGGGUAUAGACCCGAAACCCGGUGAUCUAGCCAUGGGCAGGUUGAAGGUUGGGUAACACUAACUGGAGGACCGAACCGACUAAUGUUGAAAAAUUAGCGGAUGACUUGUGGCUGGGGGUGAAAGGCCAAUCAAACCGGGAGAUAGCUGGUUCUCCCCGAAAGCUAUUUAGGUAGCGCCUCGUGAAUUCAUCUCCGGGGGGUAGAGCACUGUUUCGGCAAGGGGGUCAUCCCGACUUACCAACCCGAUGCAAACUGCGAAUACCGGAGAAUGUUAUCACGGGAGACACACGGCGGGUGCUAACGUCCGUCGUGAAGAGGGAAACAACCCAGACCGCCAGCUAAGGUCCCAAAGUCAUGGUUAAGUGGGAAACGAUGUGGGAAGGCCCAGACAGCCAGGAUGUUGGCUUAGAAGCAGCCAUCAUUUAAAGAAAGCGUAAUAGCUCACUGGUCGAGUCGGCCUGCGCGGAAGAUGUAACGGGGCUAAACCAUGCACCGAAGCUGCGGCAGCGACGCUUAUGCGUUGUUGGGUAGGGGAGCGUUCUGUAAGCCUGCGAAGGUGUGCUGUGAGGCAUGCUGGAGGUAUCAGAAGUGCGAAUGCUGACAUAAGUAACGAUAAAGCGGGUGAAAAGCCCGCUCGCCGGAAGACCAAGGGUUCCUGUCCAACGUUAAUCGGGGCAGGGUGAGUCGACCCCUAAGGCGAGGCCGAAAGGCGUAGUCGAUGGGAAACAGGUUAAUAUUCCUGUACUUGGUGUUACUGCGAAGGGGGGACGGAGAAGGCUAUGUUGGCCGGGCGACGGUUGUCCCGGUUUAAGCGUGUAGGCUGGUUUUCCAGGCAAAUCCGGAAAAUCAAGGCUGAGGCGUGAUGACGAGGCACUACGGUGCUGAAGCAACAAAUGCCCUGCUUCCAGGAAAAGCCUCUAAGCAUCAGGUAACAUCAAAUCGUACCCCAAACCGACACAGGUGGUCAGGUAGAGAAUACCAAGGCGCUUGAGAGAACUCGGGUGAAGGAACUAGGCAAAAUGGUGCCGUAACUUCGGGAGAAGGCACGCUGAUAUGUAGGUGAAGUCCCUUGCGGAUGGAGCUGAAAUCAGUCGAAGAUACCAGCUGGCUGCAACUGUUUAUUAAAAACACAGCACUGUGCAAACACGAAAGUGGACGUAUACGGUGUGACGCCUGCCCGGUGCCGGAAGGUUAAUUGAUGGGGUCAGCGCAAGCGAAGCUCUUGAUCGAAGCCCCGGUAAACGGCGGCCGUAACUAUAACGGUCCUAAGGUAGCGAAAUUCCUUGUCGGGUAAGUUCCGACCUGCACGAAUGGCGUAAUGAUGGCCAGGCUGUCUCCACCCGAGACUCAGUGAAAUUGAACUCGCUGUGAAGAUGCAGUGUACCCGCGGCAAGACGGAAAGACCCCGUGAACCUUUACUAUAGCUUGACACUGAACAUUGAGCCUUGAUGUGUAGGAUAGGUGGGAGGCUUUGAAGUGUGGACGCCAGUCUGCAUGGAGCCGGCCUUGAAAUACCACCCUUUAAUGUUUGAUGUUCUAACGUGGACCCGUGAUCCGGGUUGCGGACAGUGUCUGGUGGGUAGUUUGACUGGGGCGGUCUCCUCCUAAAGAGUAACGGAGGAGCACGAAGGUUGGCUAAUCCUGGUCGGACAUCAGGAGGUUAGUGCAAUGGCAUAAGCCAGCUUGACUGCGAGCGUGACGGCGCGAGCAGGUGCGAAAGCAGGUCAUAGUGAUCCGGUGGUUCUGAAUGGAAGGGCCAUCGCUCAACGGAUAAAAGGUACUCCGGGGAUAACAGGCUGAUACCGCCCAAGAGUUCAUAUCGACGGCGGUGUUUGGCACCUCGAUGUCGGCUCAUCACAUCCUGGGGCUGAAGUAGGUCCCAAGGGUAUGGCUGUUCGCCAUUUAAAGUGGUACGCGAGCUGGGUUUAGAACGUCGUGAGACAGUUCGGUCCCUAUCUGCCGUGGGCGCUGGAGAACUGAGGGGGGCUGCUCCUAGUACGAGAGGACCGGAGUGGACGCAUCACUGGUGUUCGGGUUGUCAUGCCAAUGGCACUGCCCGGUAGCUAAAUGCGGAAGAGAUAAGUGCUGAAAGCAUCUAAGCACGAAACUUGCCCCGAGAUGAGUUCUCCCUGACCCUUUAAGGGUCCUGAAGGAACGUUGAAGACGACGACGUUGAUAGGCCGGGUGUGUAAGCGCAGCGAUGCGUUGAGCUAACCGGUACUAAUGAACCGUGAGGCUUAACCUUACAACGCCGAAG